rnacentral:rRNA from 1 species
GCGUAAUAGCUCACUGGUCGAGUCGGCCUGCGCGGAAGAUGUAACGGGGCUAAACCAUGCACCGAAGCUGCGGCAGCGACAUUAUGUGUUGUUGGGUAGGGGAGCGUUCUGUAAGCCUGUGAAGGUGGCCUGUGAGGGUUGCUGGAGGUAUCAGAAGUGCGAAUGCUGACAUAAGUAACGAUAAAGCGGGUGAAAAGCCCGCUCGCCGG